CUCCUUUUUGGAAAUCGGUUAAAAAUAUGGUAUGACGCAGGCGCGUGCGACGGAGCGCGGACGCGGGCGACAUGCGGGCGACGGACUGUCACACGCGCUGCGGACGGCGGGCACACGGCGCGGUCGCACGCUUUUCGCAAUCGACGUUGUUUCCGUUGACGUCUUCUUGCCAAAUAAUAAAUUAG